rfam:Schistosoma rodhaini strain Burundi genome assembly, scaffold: SROB_scaffold0007795
AUCCAGCUAACAAAUCCCAAAAUGGGACGAAACGCGUGUCCUGGAU